GUUGGGCACAGUGGUACAAGCCUGUAGCCCCAGUUACCCAGGAGGCUGAGGAAGGAGGAUUGCUUGAGUCCAGGAGUUCUGGCUUGUAGAGCACUAUGCCCAUCAGGUGUCCACACGAAGGUCGGUAUCAGUAUGAUGACCUCCUGGGAGUGGGGGAUCACCAGGUUGCCCAAGAAGGGGUGAACUGGCCCAGGCUGGAAACGGAGCAAGUCAAAACUCCUGUGCUGAUCAGUACUGGGAUGACACCUGUGAACAGCCACUGCACUCCAACCAAGGGAACAUGGCAAGACCCCAUCUCU
rnacentral:SRP_RNA from 1 species